UUAUUAAAGAAUUAGAAUACUUUCAGCUUUAAUAAGCCAUCUUCAGUAAGUUUACAAAAGAUUGUUAGAUAUGGAAUACCAAUUUAAACAUCAGAAUGCACAAGUUUAUAUCAUUUUAAAAAGAAUUAAUAAUAAUACAAUACAAGUCCAUACACAAGAACAACCCCAGACAUAUCUGACAUCUGUCUCAUACUCAAUCCCAAUGCAACCACUUAGAAAGUGCUUGAAAAGAAAAACCUCACAUUACCAUAUAAUAAACUCAAUACCAGGUACCAUAGAGUAACGAAUAUUGUGAUGUAUUGCCAGAGUUGGCAACAUCGUAACUCCACUUCUGAGCCAUGCUUUGGAGAUGUCGGUCACAUGAGACCACUGUAGUGUGAAACUGAUAAUAAAUAGUCAUUUCUUUGAUUAAAUUCUGGUCUUAUUACUUAAUGAAUACCG
rnacentral:lncRNA from 1 species